AUUCCGGGUCAUCCUGUAAAUAAGAGCAAGUGGAUUGGCUAAUCCUGUAAACUUAUGUGCACCAAGGCAAGUACUUAAACCCUGGUCUUCACUCUCAAACCCCCCACUUGAAAAAAAAUCCCAGUUUGGCUCUCCGGCUGUAACACUUGGUUGAAGAGUUGAAGUGUGAAGUGUGGGGAUACCUAAAGUCAUGGCGCUACGCUUGCUUCUUCUUGUCUCAUUUCUGCUCGUCUGCACAGUACAAGUGUCGUCAGAUAUCGACCUAGAGAACUCUCACACCCAGGUUGUGAAGGGAGCUAACAGGAGGCUUUUGCGGACCUUGGG